UACGUAGGGGGCAAGCGUUGUCCGGAUUUAUUGGGCGUAAAGAGCGUGUAGGCGGCUUUACAGGUCCGUUGUGAAGACUCGAGGCUCAACCUCGAGACGCCGGUGGAAACCGUAAAGCUAGAGUCCGGAAGAGGAGAGUGGAAUUCCUGGUGUAGCGGUGAAAUGCGCAGAUAUCAGGAGGAACACCCGUGGCGAAAGCGGCUCUCUGGGACGGUACUGACGCUGAGACGCGAAAGCGUGGGGAGCAAACAGG
rnacentral:rRNA from 1 species